AACGAACGCUGGCGGCAUGCCUAACACAUGCAAGUCGAACGAGACCUUCGGGUCUAGUGGUGCACGGGUGCGUAACGCGUGGGAACCUGCCCUUAGGUUCGGAAUAACUCCCCGAAAGGGGUGCUAAUACCGGAUAAUGUCUUCGGACCAAAGUUUUAUCGCCUUUGGAUGGGCCUGCGUUGGAUUAGCUAGUUGGUAGGGUAAAAGCCCACCAAGGCGACGAUCCAUAGCUGGUCUGAGAGGAUGAUCAGCCACACUGGGAGUGAGACACGGCCCAGACUCCUACGGGAGGCAGCAGUGGGGAAUAUUGGACAAUGGGCGAAAUCCUGAACCAGCAAUGCCGCGUGAGUGAUGAAGGCCUUAGGGAUGUAAAGCUCUUUUACCCGGGAUGAUAAUGACAGUACCGGGAGAAUAAGCUCCGGCUAACUCCGUG
rnacentral:rRNA from 1 species